AUGGCUGUCGUCAGCUCGUGUCGUGAGAUGUUGGGUUAAGUCCCGCAACGAGCGCAACCCUUGUCAUUAGUUGCUACAUUUAAGUUGGGCACUCUAAUGAGACUGCCGGUGACAAACCGGAGGAAGGUGGGGAUGACGUCAAGUCCUCAUGGCCCUUAUGGGUAGGGCCUCACACGUCAUACAAUGGCGCAUACAGAGGGUUGCCAACCCGCGAGGGGGAGCCAAUCCCAGAAAGUGCGUCGUAGUCCGGAUUGGAGUCUGCAACUCGACUCCAUGAAGUCGGAAUCGCUAGUAAUCGCGGAUCAGCAUGUCGCGGUGAAUACGUUCCCGGGUCUUGUACACACCGCCCGUCACACCAUGGGAGCGGGUUUCACCAGAAGUAGCUAGCCUAACCUGCGAAGGGGGGCGGUUACCACGGUGAGAUUCGUGACUGGGGUGAAGUCGUAACAAGGUAGCCGUAUCGGAAGGUGCGGCUGGAUCACCUCCUUUCUAGAGAAGGCGUUCUCGAGAGCGCGCAAGCAUCCACACUCAUCGGUUGUUGUGAACAGCAGGGGCGAGGGGCGACACCCCAGGCGGGUGUAAAGGGACGAGCGAAACCCCCUAACCCCUAAGCCCUAAGGAAUUUGGGGUCUGUAGCUCAGUUGGUUAGAGCAUCGUCUUGAUAAGGCGGGGGUCGUUGGUUCAACUCCAACCAGACCCACCAGGAAAAGUUGGGGGUGUAGCUCAGCUGGGAGAGCACCUGCUUUGCAAGCAGGGGGUCAUCGGUUCGAUCCCGUUCACCUCCACCACUAUCGAGGUUGCUGAAAGGCUAGAACCAAGCGAAUGGGACGUUUGCUUGGUUCUGGUUUUUUAAAGCCAGAGGCUGUUCGUUCUUUAACAAUACGGCAAGAAGUACAACCACACUCAUUUGCAGUUUGAAUGGUGUGGCUGGGUUUAGAUUGUAUGUAUCGCCCGUUCCCAUGGAAGAGUUCGAUGGGGAGGGGAGCAACACAAGCGCUGAAGUGAGAGGCCUGUGGCAUUGGACUUCGGGGUUGUCGCCCCGAGGGCUCAAGGUUAUAGGAUCAAGUGAAUAAGUGCAUGUGGUGGAUGCCUUGGCGAUUACAGGCGAUGAAGGGCGUGGCAGCCUGCGUAAAGCUGCGGGGAGCUGGCAAACGAGCAUUGAUCCGCAGAUAUCCGAAUGGGGAAACCCGG
rnacentral:sRNA from 1 species